AACGAACGCUGGCGGCAGGCCUAACACAUGCAAGUCGAGCGCCCCGCAAGGGGAGCGGCGGACGGGUGAGUAACGCGUGGGAACGUACCCUUUGCUACGGAAUAGCCUCGGGAAACUGGGAGUAAUACCGUAUGUGUCCUUCGGGAGAAAGAUUUAUCGGCAAGGGAUCGGCCCGCGUUGGAUUAGGUAGUUGGUGGGGUAAUGGCCUACCAAGCCGACGAUCCAUAGCUGGUUUGAGAGGAUGAUCAGCCACACUGGGACUGAGACACGGCCCAGACUCCUACGGGAGGCAGCAGUGGGGAAUCUUAGACAAUGGGCGCAAGCCUGAUCUAGCCAUGCCGCGUGAGCGAUGAAGGCCUUAGGGUUGUAAAGCUCCUUCAGGGGGGAAGAUAAUGACUGUACCCCCAGAAGAAGCCCCGGCUAACUCCGUG
rnacentral:rRNA from 1 species